UGGAAGGAAGGGAGAAUGAUAUUACAAGUGGUGGGGAGGAUGUGGGGGCUAUGAAUUAAAGAGUCCUGUGGGUGAGGCCAAUUCGGUAAUAAUAUCGCCGCAUCCAGUAGUACUAUGUCAGUGUAAAGACUUUCAGAUGCGCGCGGAGAGCGCAAACAGAGAGACAGAGAGAGAGAGAGAGAGUGAGUGGCCGCAGCCUCUGCGGGGAAGCCAAAGCACAGCCUCCUUUAGCUUCUGAUGGGAUGGGAUUGGCCGGUUGCGGUAGCUGUCGUUUGGUGCGUGCCAAAGGAUUCCGAUCUACCCGCGCCGUGGCCCCCUCUAAUCUAAUCUCCACUGUCCCCUCCAGUGUAUUAAAAGAAAGCUAAAUGGAAGGAAAGAGAUUUGAUGGAGUGACACAAGUCGCCGUCCAGAAUCAUGAGGUUUCGGGUUUCGAUCUUUAUCAAUUAAACUUUCAUGCUCUUUAUUUAAUUUUACUAUUUAUAUUCUUGUAUCAUGUCAUACGCCUCUCUUACAAUCAAAAAAAUAAAAAAUAGAAAGAAAAACUGUUAGAAUAUAUUUUAAUUGUUAUUAUUAAAAUGUAAUCGGUUAGAUUAUUUAUUUCUAAUAGUUUACGGGUAUGAGAAAACGGCCUUAGUGUAAUGGCAUAACGUACCAACCCAGAAUUGAGAGAUUAUGAAUUCAAUAUAAGCGAAUUUUUUUCGGUA